CGGCUGGGCCCGCCUCCUUGAGCCAAAGCCCCUAAUGAGGCCAGCUCAGGAAGAUUCCUCUGGACCAGUCUCAGCCUCAGCAGGAGGGACGGACAGGGACUUUGGACAAGACUGAGGCUCUGAGAGGUUGUGGAGGUGUCACCCAGCUGGAUAAGGGUCAGAAAUAAGAUGGAAAGUAUUCCGAUCUCUGUAAUGACAAUACCCAGCACUUACACAGAACCUUCUACGGGACCCGCACGGCACAUCUAUUCACUCAUUCAAUCCUCCAGCAACCCACGAGGGCAGGACUGUCGCUGUCUUGGUGCCACACGCGAGGAAACUGAGGCACAGAGAAAGAAGCUCGCCAAAGCUUUGUGAGCCAGGAGGCAGGAGGAUGGACGACGCACUGGAGGCCUGAUCAGAUGGCGAAAGGGAGGAAGAAACCAGAGCCACUUGUCUCCUUGAUCUCUGGGAUGGAAGCCACCUUCAGACUUGCUCCUGGAAUCCUGAGCUACCCUGCAUCUGUCCUGACUUUUGGAAGCCCCAGACACAGGAGAGGCCACACACAGACAUUCAGGUUGACCAUCCCAGCGGAGCCCAGACUUUGAGUCAGCCUGGCCAAGGCGUCAGGCAUGUGGGUGAAGAACAUUCCAUGUGAUUCCUGUCUUCCAUUCAAGUCACCCCCAGCCACCUGAGUCUUCCAGCUGAGAUCCCAAACUGUGGAGCAGAGACAAACCAUCCCUGCUGUGCUUUCUCUGAAUUCCUGACCUACAG
rnacentral:lncRNA from 1 species